UAUAGAGGGUGCGAGCGUUGUUCGGAAUUAUUGGGCGUAAAGCGCAUGUAGGCGGCCUAUUAAGUCGCGUGUGAAAGCUCCAGGCUCAACCUGGAAAGUGCGCGCGAAACUGGAAGGCUUGAGUGCCGGAGGGGGUGGCGGAAUUCCCGGUGUAGAGGUGAAAUUCGUAGAUAUCGGGAGGAACACCAGAGGCGAAGGCGGCCACCUGGACGGACACUGACGCUGAGACGCGAAAGCGUGGGGAGCAAACAGG
rnacentral:rRNA from 1 species